AUACGAAAGGUGCAAGCGUUGUUCGGAUUUACUGGGCGUAAAGAGAGUGUAGGUGGUUUAUUAAGUCGGAUGUGAAAUCCCGGGGCUCAACCUCGGAACUGCAUUCGAUACUGAUAGGCUAGAGUUUGGGAGGGGUAAGCGGAAUUCCGUGUGUAGCAGUGAAAUGCGUAGAUAUACGGAGGAACACCUGAGGCGAAGGCGGCUUACUGGACCAAUACUGACACUGAGACUCGAAAGCGUGGUAGCAAACAGGAUUAGAAACCCUAGUAGUCC
rnacentral:rRNA from 1 species